AACAGCAUUAAAACCAUUAAAACAAUAUUAAUUAAAAGCCUGGGUGAACAGAUGUGUCUUAAAAGACAUUUUAAAAGCUGUCAGAGAUGGGGAAGCUCUUAUUUCACUAGGGCGGCUGCCAGGCACUCCAAGAAUCCAGAGACUCUUCUGCUAAUAAAGCCAAUUUGUUUUUUGACCCUAGGAGCUGAGGGUGGGGAACUUCGCAUAGCAUGAACAGGACCUGGACUAUCUAAGGCCAGAACUGCAAAGAAAAUGUUUAGAGCCUUCUCCAUCCCAGAAGAGUCAGUUAAAUACAGGAACUAGACUAUCUCGGCCAGAACUACAAAAAACGCACUUCCAAACAUAGAUCUCUGACUGCAGGAGGCCUCUGGAACAGCCCUUCAAGCCUCCUAUCAAGGUUACUCCCCAGUCCAGCCGGGAGUCGCCCAAAGCGGAGCAUGACAGCUGCGGCAGGAGAAUGCCGUCUUGAAAGCCAGGUCCUUCUCGUCAAAGAUCUGGGCUUUGGCUACAACUCUGAGGAGACCAUCAGAUUCCGUUACUGCACCGGGAGUUGCCCCAUGACCAACUAUGACCUAGCCAUGUUUUAUCUGUCAGAGCAGAGUGGCAUAUCAGGCUUGAGAGAGCCCUGCUGUCGCCCCACAGCCUAUGAGACUGAGGUCUUUCUGGAUGACAGCAACCAGUGGCAAAAAAUUCAGCAGCUCUCAGCCUCUGCUUGCGGCUGUGUGGGCUGAUGGCCUGGGGAGGAGAUGCCAAGGGAAGGGGGAAAGGGGCCCAGUGAACUGUAGGACAGCAGCAGAGCAUGGCCAUAGCCUUAACUGUCGAAACACAUGCCUUUACUUUGUCCUAGUUCAACCCUUGGCUCUGGAUUGGGCUUUUAAAGUUGUAGCAAAAACGCCCCAGCAUGGGAUUCAAGGUCACCUGCGUAUUCUCUUAGUUCAAGCACAAAGCAAUCCUUCAGAACGACCACCCCCAACUAAGAAUGGCAAGAGGGACUCCCCCAAGCAAUGUCCUAUCUUCUAUGAAGCCCUUUCUGAUCCACUUCAUGUUAAAAACAUGCCGCUUGCUUGACUGAAUCCUGCCUAUAGGCCUGAGAGGUUGGGGUAAGCAAGGUUGAGGCCAAGGGAUCUGAGAUAUUUAUGGAUGGUUUCUAAGUUAUUUAAUUUAUUUCUUCCCCUGAAUAUGGGGAAGGGCUGGCAUUUGCACCACCCCUUGCCCAAGUUGUUCUCCCCCAUAUAUAUCUCCUCCCCAUUUUUCCUGUUACUGUGCUGAGGUGAUCAGUCCCAGACUUGCAUUAAGAAAGAAAGAAAAAUGACUGACCUGGAAAUAGCGGUGUCAAUACAAUAAAGACCAAGCAAGGACA